GGAUCCCCUCACGGCCGCGCCCCCUCUCCCCGGGGCAGCGGGGCCGAGGUGGGACCGCGUCGCCAGCCCCGGGGUGAUGCGUGGGCGAAGCGGGAUUGUGUCACUCGCCCUCCCGGAGUGAACUAAUGGACCGCGACUCAGCGAGUGCAGCCCCCGCGUUAUCCCUCCCGCCUGGGAGGUGCCGCUCCGUCACAACAUGGCGGGCGCUGCCGCGUCACAGCCCGCCCAGGCUGUCACGGCGCUGCCGCGGGUCGGGCGGGCCGGGGAGAUCGCGGGCGGAGAGCUGCUGGUGUGGUGCAGAAUUACCUGUGCUUAAGGUGUAGGAAAAGCUUACCUUAUUUGAUCAGACCUUGUGGAUUGAUUGGACUGAUUCAGGAUCCUGUCUUCUAUACCACCCUGCCCCGGACACCAGAGAAAAAUCUCUACCUUACACUAAAACAAUGGGAUUAUUCUGAGCCUUUCCUGUUUCAGCGAAAGAACUUACUUCUAUCUCCUCUUUUACUCAUCUAUUUGAACCAUUAUUUUUCGUUAGCUGAUUCUGUUUUAUAAAGAUUCUUACAUUGACUGUACUGGAAUGUGCAGAAUGGCAUUAAACACAUUAGUGUUUAAGGUAGCCUAAGAAUACUCUAAAUAUCUUUAGUAAUAGCUGUUACAAGCACUAUAUAUUCCUUUUUAGCCAUUCUUCAAGACACAUAAUUUAAUUUUCUGUUACUGAUUCUACUUUUCCUUGCAGAGAUGGAAAUUGUGGUCAUGACAUGGACAAUAUUUACAUGACUGUUUCCCUUAAAGUGCUGUCCAGAAUUCAUAAAGGCUCAAGAGCGGACUUUGAUUUCUGGAAACCCUAUUACCGAUUUCCUUCACCAAAGGUUCUUAAAGAGACUUGGUUGCCAUGGAAGAUUAACGUAAAUCCUUAUUAAAAACAGAAUAAGGAAUAAAAGGUUUUUACAGUAAAAUCCCACACAGUUCUGUGCUGGGAUUUGCACUGUUGAGCAUGCUCAUUUUAGUUUUUUAGUAUUUUUGCUCUUCUGUAAUUUCUACUAGCUUUUGCUUAUAUUACCCCUCUUUAUUUCCUUACAGGUUCCAUAAUUUGAUGUCCUUUCCCUCUCAGGCAGUGUCAUAUCCCAACAUCAGUCGCUUCCUGCCAGCGUAAAGCCCAGGAAGCCAGUGAGGGUGAGGCCCAGCGAGGUGACCAGAGUCAGGUACAGUCCUGUGACCACCAGGCAGGUGCACGGUGACGAGGCAGCUCUGAGGCCAAGGUGGGAAUUCAGUCCACAGCCCACCAUGGGGUCCCUGGACAGGCACAGGCAUGACUGUGACACUGCUACAGCCAGGGCUGAGGUGGAACAGAAGGGAUGGGUGGAGGCACCAGGUGGGGCUCAGGGUUGCUCCUCUUUCAAAAGCAUCCAGAAAUUAUUAUUCCUGAGGGAUGGCAGUGCAGGAAAGGUGUUAUUGAGAGUGUGGCUGGUGCAGGGAGCAUGGCUGAGAUCUGUGUAAAAACAAGGCAGGCUGUGCAGGUCCGUUAAUCUGGGAUUAUGUCAGGAGAGAUCGGCUCACCCGUGUGCUCCCGGCUGCUGCAUCCAGGUCAGACGGCUGGCUCGGGUGAGGGAGCACUCACCCAGACAAACUAGUGUCAGCACACAGCAAGGGUUUGUCUGAACCUGCAGAGAAAUAAAAUACAGCUCCAGACAGAUCUGUGCAGCUAUCCCACAUUUUUCAGGGCACAUCAGGAACACCACAGCACUGUCCAGCCGUGCUGGGAGCUCAGCCGUGGGGCAGAAGUGUAACAAAGGGAUCUCUGUGCCUGAUGCAGAAUAAGGUGGUUUGGGUUUAUUUUUUAAGCCUGGUUGGAGAUUUCUUCAUGAGCUGCAGCUUUUGUGAAUGUCUGUCAGCACAUUCUGGGUUAGUGCCAGUCAAGGAUUAUGACCUAUAUUAACAUCCCAGAAACAGGGCAGGCCAGCCAGGACUCCACCUCAUGGCAGGACUGCAGCUCAGUCUCCUGAUGUCUGAUAUCCACUGUUACUACAUUAUAAAGUCAGGUUAAAUUACUUCUCACAACAGGGACUUAUUUAAAAUGUGCCCACUCCUUUUGAUAGUGCAUCUCUUGCCUUCUUGACAAAGCAUCUGACAAUCUCUCAGUGAGGGCUAUUUAACUUUCUUAACAAAACAGAAGAAUGGCAUUUGCUACAGUUAUUUAACUGCUAUUCAUAAAAAUAAAAUAGAUGCCUAAUGGGUUGGCUUUAUGUUCAAUGGGACUUACAUCAUCGUAUCCAGUAAUAUGAACAAUAUUCAGUUCAGACAUGACUUGGUGGCUUGCUCAAGAAAGCUCCAUAUCCAGACACUGGAAUUUUCCCAUACCUUGUGUGGCACAUAUGCAUCUCACUGGUAGUUUAAAAAAUAGUGUUGUUGGAAAAUCCUAAUAUACAAACUGGAUCUAAAAGGGGUUUUCUAAGCACUUGGAAAGAAAGACAUCAGGAUGUGAAAACACCAAACAGUGACCCUUAGUGGUUAGUUGUGUACCUUGCACAUUUCUUGCCAUUAGAAAACAUAAGAUAAAAAACAUUCCUCAGCUUUUCAGUCAUGUUUAGCAGCUUGAUGGAUUUGAUUUAUGGAAGUCUGCACCUCCCAAGCAUCUUUCAAAGCUUUUUCAAAAGCUUUAGGAACAACCCAUAAGCCCCGUGGUGUUCUGUGGUGCUGAGGCAUGUUAGAAUUUUUCAGAUAUACAAACUAGAAACAAAUUCCCAAAAUGUGUGCAGUGAAUUAUUACACAAUACGAACUGAUUUGAUACGUGCUGUAUUCCCUGGGCCACACAUCCCUUCAUGUCUUGUCACAAUCUCUUACACCUUCCUGGCAUAAACACUCCCACUUCUUUUGAGUCAAGCUCUAUGUUUAUUGGACAUUAUUCCAUUUCCAUGAAAAAGGCAUUGACUAUCUGCUUAUUCUCCAAAUUCGGCCAAUUUAAAAUCUAUUGUAAUCAAAUGGAGUUUAUUCAACAUAACACCUAAAAAUCAUAAAAUAUGAAUUAAAAAGCCAUUAAUGUGAACUGUGGUUGUGUGACUGGCUGGAGGUUCUCACUGCCUUGCUGGUCUCAUGCAGGUUUGUGUUUCCCAACUGCUUUUCCCUGCAGAUGCUCCACAGUACUUUCCAGGUCAGUUAUACCCCGAGGGAAAUGGGAGCAAUGCCAUGAUGAUGAAUGUGAAAUUUUUCACUCUGUAACUGAAGUAUCUGUUUUGCAAAAUACUCUGAAUUAAUUUGGCUGUUCUAGGAGAUGAAAGUUGUUAGAAUCUGUUAUUAUCAAAACAGUAGGAAUUCUGGAUAUUUCAUAUAUUAAUUCUGAAAAUUAAUACCUUUUACAAGAGUAUAUUCAUUGAAGGAGUCUUGUAUUCAGGCUUUACUGAAAGGUGGCAAUAUUUUCACAGGGAAUAAGCAUCUUUCAAGUAUUUUCACAUUAAAUGGAAAUACUUUCAUCACUUGAGGCCCUUCUUGGAAGUCAUUCAACUAUGAGAACAUUUGCUUUAAAUAAAAGACUGUUUAAGCCAGUGGGAUUCCUGGAAUUCCUGAGCCAUUUAUGCUCUUCUUUACACUUUUCUUAGCACAUCUUAACUCACUGAACAUUUCCCUCUCCCCACAGAUUUAAUACUGGUAAGAAAUAGUCAUCUCAUUAAAACUAUGAAGGCUUGGGCUGGCAUUUCUAGUCUGUUUUAUGGUUAAUUUAGUUUUGACUGGAGUAGUUUCUGGGGUCCUUGCUUACAAACUUUCAAGUGCAGUUAGCCCAUGUGAUACAGCGAGUGUGUGCAUGCAGAGUAAAAAUGCAUCCACACCUUCUACACAGAAUAAUAAUAUUUAGUUUGUUAUAGCAGUUUCAGAAAAAAAUAGCAACUGCUUUUACAAAUAUUAUUUAAGGUUUCUCAUAUGUCAGUGAAAUAGGCAUUGAUAAAGAGAAAAGAUGGAAAUAGAGCCACAGAGCCAAUAGCUGUGCCAAUAGCUCAUUAAAUUCCAUAAAAAGCUAUACUGGAGACAAAGCAGGUCAGAGGUGGAAAACUACCUACCUGUGCUCAUAAAAGAGACCAUGUCUUGGAAUUGUACCUUUUGGCCCUGUACAGCAGGAGAGUAAAUGGUUAACAUGUUUAAGGAAUGAUCCACUUCGAUUUUCUCAGGGCAACACCUCAGAAUCAGGAAUUUUUAAGAGCAGUGACUUGAGCAGAAUAAAAUACAGCUCUGCAACAACACUUCUCCUCAGCCGGACCCUGCUUUGCCACUGUCACAUCCCCUCCAGGCCUGCUCUUGCUGCCUUAGUCGUUCCCUAACAUUUGUCAAUCUCCUAUCUGCAUUUUUUUUAUUUCAUUUUUAUUUUAUUUUCAUUUACUUUCUCCCUGAUACCUGCCCUUCUAUUUUAGCGCUCUUAUCUUUUUUACUGAACAAGGUCACAAGUGAAAGUGGGCUUUGGCAGUUCCAGCAUUCCGGCUGACGUUCAUUGACAUCAUGGAACUGUUUGCUCUGUCACGGUAACAGCUCCUGGCUUUGCAAAUUCACAUGUAUUAAAUGUCUCAGAUACAAUUUCAGUUGGUGCCUAGGAGAAAAAAUGCAGGACUGGGAUAUGAACUGUGACAGAGGCGUGUGGGUCACAAACAAAUCCACAUUCCCACUUUGAGAUCCUCUUUCCACAGGUGCAUCAAAGAGGCGGGGCCAUGUGGUGACUUGUAAGGCACCAGCUUGGCAGGUGGGUUUGUGUCCAAACAAGGCCAUUCUGGAGAUUUUGAUCCUGGGAAUAUUCUCACACUUAUUUAAUAUUGUCCAAAUACUUUCAGUUCUCACCACAGUCUGGGAUUACUCCAUGAGUAAGCUCAGAAUUCUGUUUUUUUGCAGGAUCAGGGAAAUCACAAACUUAAUUUCCAAAAAGAAAAUCCCCGUAGAUUGAUUCUGUACCAGGGUGCUGGUACGUACUACUAGAGAAACUAAUUCUGGUAAUAUCUCUAAUCUCUUUAAAUAAAAUAAUUUUCAAAACUCUGUGUUCCAUUGUACCAGUUACAUACCAUUAUCUUUAUUAUUCAUAAACUUUAUCAGCAUAGAAGAUUCACUGAAUAAAAUGUUAAUAACUUGAUUCAUUAUUUUUAAGUGGAAAAUCAACAGCUCACUUAUUAAGGGGUAUUUCUUUCUCAACAUCUGUAAGUUGGUGUAAAAAAUUACUAAAAGAUAUGUUUUUUAAUGGAAUAUUUAAAUAGUAUUCUCUAGCUGAAGAAGAGUCUGUGUUGAAAAAUAGAAACACUGAGUGAAAAUGUCACAGCUCUCACUUGCUAUUGAAUAACACAGCAAUGUCUCAAACCCAACCACAGCUAAUCAGAGUGGGAGAGCUACAGGUAUGUGAAGUGCAGGAUGAAUUAUUCUGAUAAUAACUGCAAUAUUUAUGUAUUAAAUAAAAAAGUUACUGUGCAUCUGUCAAAACUGAUUUCAGAUUUCCCAUAAUUUUUAUACCAAUGUCAUUUUUCUUGGUUUUCUUGGAAAAUAAGAUUCAGUUUGCCUAAAAAUUUUGAACACAUAUUCUUUCAUAUUUGAAGGUUCUCUUGAUACAGUAUAUUCCAAAGAGGGAAAGCCAAUUCCUACAGCAGGGAGUCGAGUCUCUUCAACAGACUGUUCUCUCUAAGCAGUGCUGGGGAGUUGCAAUUGUAUUUACUGGCAUUUCUAACAAAAUUGCAUUUUGCACUUGCAUCAUUUUUGAAGCUAAAGGUUACUAUUAUCUGAUUUUACCAGCCAGUCCCUUCUGUUUGUGCUUACAGAGAUUCCUCCCUUGCUUUCCUGCUGCCCUCCACUGGCAGCUGCUCAGACGUGCUUUGCUUGUGCACAGGAACAGGUUCUCAGCUGAGCUCCUCAUCUGAGCAGAACUCUGUGAAGCCUGCCUACAUACCCAGCAGCUCCCAGUCUUACAUUCCAGGAUGGAAUUAGGGUCACAGAUGGGACUCACUGAGGGUGCAUCAUGCAAAACUGUCUCAGUCGAAAACCCCUCAGUGGUCAAAGGCCGUUACACAGGCCUUGCUCCCAAACACUGCCAGGGAAUGCUGUUUCACACCUUUGUACCUCUCAGCCCCAUCUUUAUACUUCACAGGCCCAGUUUUUGGUUAGGUAGCCUUUUGUGGAGUAGAUCAAGAAACCUGAUUUGUAAAAUUGGGAAUUAAUAAUGCAGUAAUGCCAGUGGUUGGCACAUACAGACCUGUUGGCUUUGAUGGGACCACUGGACUGUGCAAAAUAACUCAGGCAUGGGAGUGUUUGCCAGCUUAAACUCCAGAGCCAAACAACAAGCUCAUUAUCAGCAAACACUGUGACUGGCACUGCAGUUGUGCUUCAAGGACUCUGCAAAGAUCUAGCACCAAAAAAUCCCAACCUAUAAAUGGCAAAGUGGAUCCGGGAUUGCAACUUUCAGGCAUGUGCUGGGGACCAAUAAAGUCAGCAAGGAAACAGGAAUGGCUGGCCUGGGGUGAUCAUGGAUUGACUGAUUUAAUGUAGAGAUUCACAGAAGUUUGGAUUUUCUUGUGUCCGGUAUCUUUCUCAAAAUAUUCUGGAGCUGUGUGAAGGGAACCUGCUGUUAUUUAACAGCCUUUCUCUGGUCAAAUUCACUGAGUUUAGCCAAAUAAAAUCUCAGUUUCCCCAUUAAAGCCUAGGCACUGAUGGAAGUGCAAGAAGAUUCCCUGCUCUCCUGCAUCCAGCUGUGCCCAGGGGUGGGGAAGAGCUUUGAACCAAGCAAUAAUAGGCUUAGAGUGAGAUAAGAAAAUGGACCCAAAAUCCUGCUUAUUGAAACAGUGCAGAAUUAAGCCUCCAGUUUCCAAGACAAGCAUGUCUGAGUUACUGCAGAAGAGCCACAGGCCUGUGCACACAGCCCCUGGCCAGCAGAAGGAAAUCCUCUGGGCUCAUUCCCCCUUUACGAAUAAUCUUUUUUGCUACUAUUUAGUUAGAGUAGGUUUCACCUCUGUAUUAAAACCAUUCAGGUCCUUUUUUGAGUUAGUACUAACCAAUGGUCAAGUGGCCUAGCUAAAAUAGAUUUAAUGUGUUCAAAAUGAUUUUCCAGGGUAUCCACAUUCCCAUCUAAAAACCACAGGGCUAACUGACAUCUCUGUGAGCAGCCUUUUUGAAUUUAACACUUGGAGUAGAGAAGCUGGGAAAAGCUGGAGAGAAGGAUUUGAGGAGUCCAUUGUGGUGAAGCAUUUUCCAAGAACAUCCUGAAAGGAUAUUACUGCUCACACCGUGUCACUUCUCUGGAUAAUAAAACUGCUCCAGCUUCUGCAUCUGCCAGUCUGGCACCUUUAAUAAGUAAUUAAAUCACACUGUGGAUGUGAACACAGCCACGGAUAAAUAAUAACUGACAGCUCUCACACUGGCACGCGAGCAGGGAGACACAGCCAGGGCAGGAAAUCACACACAGCAUUUCAUUUGUUACUGAUUUGUCUGUAACGAAGUGAGGAAGAUGCCCUGGGGACUGGUGACUAACAAGGAGCAUUGUUUAUGCUACAAAUCCCAUCCGGUUAUUAGUCUUUGAAAAGUGCUUUGUUUAGCUUAUCAGUGCUCCAGCAGGAAUACCAGGGGCAUUAUUGCUGUUGUAAGUGUAUUUCUAUUCCAAUAUUACUGACACAUAAGAGGUUAUGUGUUACCUGAGGGCUGAAAAUUCAGCUUGUGCUUCAGUGCCUUGUUGAAUCAGGAUCAGGAUGGUGAACACUGCACAAAACCAAGCCAGGAGCAGGUUUCCUUAUUAAUUUUUCUGCAUUAAAUUGGAGAACACCUUUACAGAAAUCAAACCUUUCUCAAGGACCACAGAUCAUGACAAAGUAUAAAAACCCUAUGGAGUAUAAAUGCCCAUCAAUUAAAAUUAUUUUAGCAUAUUAGACCUUCUGCUUAAAUUCUGCACUUCACUUAGGAAUUGGACAAUGUUGUAUUACACAACCUAAUUCUGCAGUUAUGCAAUUCCCAAGCACCGUUAAGUGUCUGGCAAGUUUUAGGGCUGUUUCACAACAGCACUGAUAAGCUGCUACUCUGUCAGGUGAUCAAAAUACCUGCGGUGUGCACUUGAUCAAGUUAAUAUUUAAAAAUAGGAACACAAUUUUUUUUUAUUAGGUUCAAGUAUCUUUUCAAGAUGUUAAGUGUAUCUUGGAGGAGAAGAUUUAGAAAGGGAGCGUUUUAUUUUGAGAUGGAAAAAAGUACAUUUCUUUCAUAGAUAUAAUUUAGAAAACCUGUCAGCCCCUUGCCAUUGGGCAACUAAGUUAAUAAUUGACAAAUAAGGCAUAAUUGGUCUUGCUGAAUGAUUGUACACCAACACUGUCAACUCCUCUCAAACAUUUCUGGAAAGGGGAAUGAUAAGCCAAACAUCACAUAGGUGUCCUGGACCACUCUAAAAAGUGUUCAUUAGACUGAUUAUGAAUAAAUAAUUGAAAUAUUUAUUUAGACUUUAUCAUUAGAUUACUUUUUGAAAAUCUGCAUGAAUCAAUUCUUCCCUUUAAAAUGUCAUGUUUAGAAUUUGCUUAUAAUUAGGCUAAAUGUGUGUUGUCAGAUAAUGAGCUGUCCAGUGUCUCCUCCCUGAUCAUCUUACUGGCCUUGUAACUGAGACCCUGAGCAGGCUGGCCAGAGGUCACACACUGUCACACCUUCCUGACAACUCCAAACCUCAAAGCAUGGCUUGCUUUACUAAAUACAGCAUAUUCUCUUGCAAAAAUGAAUUACUGUUUGUUAGCACUCAAAUCUGCUAAGUGCUCUUUAAACUUUAAUUCCCUCUCCUCAAAGAUGCUGAUGAGAAUGGACUCACCACUGAUGCUUUAAAACUAAAUUUCCUUGUGGUAAAGCUGGAGGAUGUUGUGAGCUGAGCUGUGGCACAGAGAUAAAGGUUUAUACCCAGGAGUUUCUGGCUUCAUAGUCAACAAACUGAUCAGUGCCUCAUGGCUUUCUUCUGCAUGAAAGAAUUAAAAAUGUGUCAUAUCUGAUGGCUGGGGUUUAGUACAAUGGGCUUGGUUUUGCAGCGUUCUACUACGAUUGUUUUCUGAAAUGCUCAGCUUUCAUUUUAAGCCAAAAGAUGUGUCAAGAUUUGAAAAUAUCUCCUUUGUCUCAAAAAUCCAUCACAAUUUCAAAGCCUGGGCCCUGAUGAGGUACCUACAUGGAGAAUUCCUUUGCAAAUCUGAGCUGUAGAGAAGUGACCUCAGUGAACACCUGUUCACUGAGAAAGUAAUAUCAACAUAAGGACUCUUCCUGAAAAAGUUAAAAGUGUUUUCUGGAUCUUUGAAUUCUAAGUCUGUUUUUCAGAAUAAUUUGCUGCUGAACUUGGGGUUUGGUUUUAGUUGCUUGCAUUUUUUUUUUAUUUCCUCCAAAUGAAUUAAAUUGACUUUUAGUGAACUAAACAUUUUACCAUCCCAUUCUGCUGUAGCAGGAUUCCCAAGAAGAUGGGGAUUAGAAACAUCAAUAUAUAGGCACCAAGAUCAAAAUCAAGGCUAUAAAAUAGUCGCUUUUAUGGGCUGUCACAGAGUUUCCAGCCUGAAAUGCUACAAGGAAUGACAAAUUUAAUUGUGCUCUUUGCAAUUGGACACAGAACUACUGCAUGAGAGGAAGCUCCCUAAAAAUCUGUCAUUGUACGCAAAGUCACACUAAAUAUUUUAUUUUGUUAAGACUGUUUAAUGCCAUCAAAAACUCAAAGCCUCACAACACAAACCCUAACUGCCAUAAUCAUUCCUGCAAUCUCUAAUUCAAUCUGCUCGUUCAAAUGUUCAAAGGCCAGCUCAGGAUUUUGGAAGGGGUAAAUUAAUUCUGGCAGACUCACAGCGAUGUCAGAUAUCAUCUGUCUUCUCCUUCUAUCACAUCCAGCUGGGAGGGCCCCUUAUAACCAGGACAGAAUCAACUCGAGCAUCAUUUUAAGUGCUUGGACUCAAUAAAUCAGAAAUUUGAUUAUGUGCAUAUAAUCUGUUAAAAACCAAUGAGAGGUUUGGCAUGUUUUUCCUAGCUGAUCUACUCAGGACAAGACUAAGCCACUGAUGUCUUUGCUGAAGGUGACCCCAAGUCUCUUUUUCCUCCCAAAUGCUGUGUUAAUACAACUGGGGGAAGGAAUGGCUCUACUGGGUGAAACCAGGGCCACCUUGCCCUCAGUACCUGUUGGGCUCAGAAACCUCUAGCAUCCAUAAGAAUGUCCACAGCUUAACCAUGUAUGUAAAGAACUGCCUUUUUGCAUCCUCUGUCACACUGCAGGAGCUGGCUGAGUUUCCCACUUCGCUUCAUUCACUCAGAGAUCACGAGAAAAUAAAAAAUGUGGUGUCAUGAUACUGGGUUUAAAUGAUUUUUCUUCUUCCCAUAUAUGCAUAUACUGUUCACCCAGAGCAGGAUCACUGCCUGGCUCUUUGCUGUAAUUCAUAGUCCUAACUCAAAUGCUCUGGGAGCAGAGCUUGAGCAUUUUCAGGGUCUUGACAGGACAUUGCACUGAAGCUGAUGAGUUUCCAGUGCCUUCGCACGGUGCCUGAGCUCAGCAGCCAGAACUGGGAUCAUCAGCAACACUAAACAUUUCAUUUUCCUAUCUUCUGAGCAGCACAAACUCUCUUUCUGCAGACUUGCUCAUGAGUCAUCUGGAAAUAAACCAUGAUCACUUGUCCCUUAGGAGUCAUAUAAUAAGUUAAUUAUUGUACAACACAUGCUAAUACAAAAUACACAAGAGGUUUCAACGUGUCGAGGCUGCAAAGGGCAGGAGAGCCUUUCAGAAUUUCCAUUGGUUAUGGUCUGGGAAUGCUGGGUUUCCCUUGACUCCAUAUCUAUUGCAUAAUCAGAAACACAUUUAGUUCCCUUUGUUGUACGAGACAAAGCUAAAGAAAUGUGUGUGUUAUUACUGUGCAAAAACAAAGAGUAGAUACCUAAUGGGCUUACGUCAUGUGUGCAGUGUUUGUAAACACAGCUCUGGGGCAGUGCCAGCUGACAGAAACCACCACAGCUUAUACCUGAAAUAAUGCUCUUCCGGAUCUGCAAAUACCCUCAGUGCUGCAGGGAAGUCAGAAUACAGGAGAGGGACGUGCUGGAUGCAUUUCAGGUAGCACUGAAUUAAAAAAAGCCUCUUUGCCUGGAGUUCACCUCACAGUGCCCUGGACCAUCCUGAGGUUUAGUUACUCCUACAUGGCCAUCCCAGCUUUGCUAUUGUGUGGUUGUUAUCUCAUCAGGAGAGAAUCUAAUCAGUGCAGGGAGAAGAAAAUCUGAAUACAGUGGAAAGGCCUUCGGCAUCUGAAAUUCUUCUUUUGAGAAUCGGAAACAAAUACAUUUAUAACUUCACAAACAGUAAACGAGAAAGAUUCUUUUCCAGUAGUUACAGAAAGAUAGUAUUGUUUAGGUUGGAAAAGCCCUCUGAGAUCAUUGAGUCCACGUUCUGGCACUUUGUUUUGAAACCUCCAGUUCCUCCUAUUUACAGAUCCUCAUUCUAGGAGGAAAGAUUGGUGCUGAUCUGAAAUUAUUCAUUUGAUGAAUGAGUUUAGACAUAGUUUUAGACAUGGCUCUGGCAAGAGACCCAGUUUCUCAACACUCACCUGGCAGACCUACACAAUGACCUUUCUCUUCUUUCUUAGAAUUAUUAUAUUAGAAAAACUAAUUAAAGAACCCACUUUGUUCUCAAAUGAGCUUGAAUCUUCCCAAUCAUCUGGUUCUUCCCACUAUUCUGUAAAAAAGUCAGAUACUUGGAGAUGCAUUCAUUGAUCUGUCAUGUAGACAGGUGCCAAUCAGGUAUUUAAUUUCUGACUUCAAAGACUGAUCUCAUCGUGGCUGUGGCAAUGGAACAUUUGAUAAUACACUUUGCAUUUGAGAAUGCCUCUUUAUCAUUUCAGAGGCUUAUAGAAUUCUUCUCUUCCAACUCCAAAACCAAAGCUUAAUAUUAUUACUAAUUUCAGACUUUGCUAAGCAAAGGGAUGGAUUGUUUGGAAGCAAUUAAUUUACUUAAAUAAAGGAUCUUUUUGCUACCCAGCCAAUGGAACACUAAGAAUCCUGUUCUCCCACCCAAGGAAGGCAGAGAAUGCACUGGACUUUAUUUCAGUACAUUUAAGUGACUGACAUGACUAAAAAGGAGGGGGGAAAACAGUAACAGGUAUGUGUGGCAUUUGUUCUUCUGUGAUGUUCUGCUAACCACAGUAAAUUAUUAUUAAUGAACUGAAUAUGUCAAUCAAAUUACUAAUUUAUUGAAGACUCUGUACUACUACUCUUCCAGGAAUCACUCCAAAUCUGGCAACCCAGUAAUCACAGGGACUCCAGCUGCCCCAGCAAAUUUUUAUUUGCUCAUUGCUUUCACAUUACAAGGUGCCACUUUUGAAAUGCCCAAGAAGUCUAAGGAUGACAAGAAGUAAUAGAUCCUCUCAUAGUAUACUGUUAAAUUACAACACAAAUUUGUGGAAUGGGUAAAAUGCACCAGAAAAUUACAAAAUUUGUAUUCAACUAUGCAAAAACCCCCCAACCUAUUAUAAAAAUCAACAGUCCAAUAAUCACACAUUUGUAACUGUGAAAGCAUGAACUCAAUUCUCAGAAGACAGCAUGUCUUUUUAAUCAUCAGCAUAAAAAUCCAGCUAUUCCAUAAAACUAAUUUAUAUUGGUGGAAAUCAGGAGUAAGACACACCAGUCUUAGGUCUGGUUCUGCCUAAAAUAAAGCAGAAGUGAUCCAGGCAUAAUUACAUUGCUUUGCAGCCCUGUAAAAGUUUUCUAAACAAACAAAAUCACGGAAGGUCCAUAUUAAACAAUUCAGUAAGUUAGUUUCUAGCCAUGUAUAAAGCCUUUUUUAAUCUGUUUACUGCUUUUUAAGUAAAUCUUUGUGGUCAUACAGGGGAAAAAUGUUCAAAGACAUCUCAUUACAUGCUCAGUAAGUGUUUAUUCCAGCCCAGGAUCUGUUUAACAGGAAAGGGACAGAUCAGAUUUAGAGGGUCCUUCUGUCAAGGCUGCCCCUGAUGUGGGCUCCUGUCUUUCCCCAGAGCAUCUCCAGCCACGGGUAAUCUACGUAAACCCAUAAUUCUCUGGAUAAACGUGCCUGCUAAAUGCCUUCUCUGAGGCUCUGAGCCAUAUGGUUGGGAUUACAGCAUUUCAAUAGUUAUUCCAAGUGAAUACAAAGAUGAAGCAUAGAAUAGUCGAGGCAGUUAUGUUCAUAAUUCCAUUUAUAAAGGGGAUUUCAGGAUUUUUAAGGCCCACAUUCUGCACCACUGGAGCCAGAACCACAACCUUAGAGCAAGUGCAAGUUAUAUUUACAAGGAAGAACAAGGUGCAAUAAAAACAUAUUUUUAUCUUUAGGAAACGUGCUUUUCCCCUAGAUGGAAAUGAUGCUCACACAGCACAGCCCCUUGUCACCAUUGCCAGCAUCACCAUCCUCUGAGGCCACGACACAUCAGUGGAUCACCAACAGCCAGGACACCUCAGGAGAGACACCGUGUAAUAUUUUAUGUUGUUUCAUGUUUUUCUAACACUGUUUUAUAACAUACAGGAAAAGGCGGCUUUGAAUAGAACUCUUCCAGGACAAACAAUGAGCACAUGGCCUCAAAAUGUGUUUCAAAUAAUACCACAGUAGUUAUAGUUUCAAGUACAAGGACAGACAUAACAACAAAGAGCAUCAACUUCCCUCUUUCCUGGUCUGGUUAAUUUUCCCUUUCCAUCUGUGAGUAUGACAUAAUGACACAGACUAUUUGUCCUUAAUUUUGAGAUCUGCAGAGGAGAAGUACCAUGCAAAAGCUUGGUCUAUAUUGGUUUUGUUAGUUGGAUGUGUUUAGCCAGGCUUUACUUUCCUCCACACACCAUUAUUUACACUCCAACGCACUGACUCCUUGCAAAGCAUUAUACAUGUUAUGACUGUGUUUAUGGAGUAGAAGUGCUCUCUGUAACGUCUGUUUUUCAUGUCUUAAACCAAUAAAACUUUACAUUGGGCUUAUCAAAA